rnacentral:rRNA from 1 species
UACGUAGGGUGCGAGCGUGUCCGGAAUUAUUGGGCGUAAAGAGCUCGUAGGUGGCCUGUCGCGUCGGCUGUGAAAACUCGGGCUCAACUCCGAGCUUGCAGUCGAUACGGGCAGGCUAGAGUUCGGCAGGGAAGACUGGAAUUCCUGGUGUAGCGGUGAAAUGCGCAGAUAUCAGGAGGAACACCGGUGGCGAAGGCGGGUCUCUGGGCCGAUACUGACACUGAGGAGCGAAAGCGUGGGGAGCGAACAGG